rnacentral:rRNA from 1 species
UACGUAGGUGGCGAGCGUUGUCCGGAUUUACUGGGCGUAAAGGGAGCGUAGGCGGACUUUUAAGUGAGAUGUGAAAUACCCGGGCUUAACUUGGGUGCUGCAUUUCAAACUGGAAGUCUAGAGUGCAGGAGAGGAGAAUGGAAUUCCUAGUGUAGCGGUGAAAUGCGUAGAGAUUAGGAAGAACACCAGUGGCGAAGGCGAUUCUCUGGACUGUAACUGACGCUGAGGCUCGAAAGCGUGGGGAGCAAACAGGAUUAGAUACCCUCGUAGU